AGGACGAACGCUGGCGGCGUGCCUAAUACAUGCAAGUCGAACGGUCUUUCUAUGGAAGCUUGCUUCCACUGAGAAGAUAGUGGCGAACGGGUGAGUAACACGUGGGUAACCUGCCCAUAAGAGGGGGGAUAACAUCCGGAAACGGGUGCUAAUACCGCAUAGUUUUCUUGAUCGCAUGAUUGAGAAAGGAAAGACGGCCUUUGUGCUGUCGCUUAUGGAUGGACCCGCGGCGUAUUAGUUAGUUGGUGAGGUAACGGCUCACCAAGACGAUGAUACGUAGCCGACCUGAGAGGGUGAUCGGCCACAUUGGGACUGAGACACGGCCCAAACUCCUACGGGAGGCAGCAGUAGGGAAUCUUCCGCAAUGGGCGGAAGUCUGACGGAGCAACGCCGCGUGAGUGAAAGAAGGUUUUCGGAUCGUAAAACUCUGUUGUCAGAGAAGAACAAGUUGGAGAGUAACUGCUCCAGCCUUGACGGUAUCUGACCAGAAAGCCACGGCUAACUACGUGCCAGCCGCGGC
rnacentral:rRNA from 1 species